CUCACCAUCAACAUUUUUGCGUCGGUAUUUCCGAACACUUCCGUUAACAACCGUUUGAACGUGACACAGGAACCAACCGAAGCAUCGUUUGUUUUCGUACCAGAUGUGCGACGUAUCUGAUAUGUGGAUGUUUGAAAGGCGGUUGGCCUCAUCCCAUGCCGCAAAGUGGUGACGUUGCCCGCCUAAGCGUGGCCGACUAUACAGCAAGCAGUUCCUGAUCCCCACCGCCACUUGUUACUGAUAUGUUCAACCUGGAGCAGCCAGUCUUCCACGUCCACGGAUCCAUCGUCAGGAGAGCCAGUGUUGCCACACCGGUUGGAGGAAAAAAACAACUGAAAUAUGUGAUGGCAAAAGUUAUUGCGGAGCUGCACAGAGUGGCUUCACUCUACUGGGUUCGAAUCCUGGCACCGGAUGUGCUAUCUGGGAGGAACCGAGCAACAAGUCGGCGGGCAAACCGCUCUGAAAUAACACACCACCACCACCUGUUCGUCCACCGGUACCAAUGCGACGGCGACUGCGCAAGAUCUAUUUUCUUCCGGUGCUUCCAGUGGAGGCAGCAUGAAAAAGAAGAAAAAGGAAAUCCAGCAUCAUCUUCAGACAAACCAAUAAACGAGCGAUCUAACCAUGA